UAUCUCUGUAGAGUCUGCAUAUCAAUAAGCGGAGGAAAAGAAACUAACAAGGAUUCCCUUAGUAACGGCGAGUGAAGCGGGAAGAGCUCAAAUUUGAAAUCUUCAAGGUUCUACCUUGACGAAUUGUAGUUUAUAGAAGUGUUUUCUGUUAGUAGAGUGGCAAAAGUUCUUUGGAAUAGGACAUCAUAGAGGGUGAGAAUCCCGUAUUUGGUCAUUCUCCUAGCUUUGUGAUACACUUUCAACGAGUCGGAUUGUUUGGGAAUGCAGUCCAAAAUGGGUGGUAAAUUUCAUCUAAAGCUAAAUAUUGGCGAGAGACCGAUAGCGAACAAGUACCGUGAGGGAAAGAUGAAAAGAACUUUGAAAAGAGAGUUAAACAGUACGUGAAAUUGUCAAAAGGGAAGCGUUUGACACCAGUGUUGUUUAGUUGAAAAUCAAUUAAAUAGUUUUCGAUUCUAAGUAGUAUUGACCUUAUCAGCUUGCUGCUUUCUCCUCGGAAAUUAUUUAAUGCACUUUUCAGUUAACAAGUCAACAUCAAUUUCUUUUGUUGUAAAAAGGUAAGAGGAAGGUGGCUUGCGCUUCGGCUCAAGUGUUUAUAGCCUUUUACUUCUGCAAUCGGAGAGAUUGAGGUCUGCAGCGUAGAUCCUUCGGGGUUAGAUGCAUUUGUGCUAAGUUAUAGCCUUUCAUAGACAACUUGUUGACUAUGAUCAGUCAUGUAGCUUACUCGCUUAUGCUAUUUUACCUACGCUUAGGAUGUUGA
rnacentral:rRNA from 1 species